UACGUAGGGUGCAAGCGUUAUCCGGAUUUACUGGGCUUAAAGGGUGCGCAGGCGGAUAUGUAAGUCAGUGGUGAAAUCUCCGGGCUUAACCCGGAAAUUGCCGUUGAUACUAUAUAUCUUGAAUGUUGUGGAGGUAAGCGGAAUAUGUCAUGUAGCGGUGAAAUGCUUAGAUAUGACAUAGAACACCUAUUGCGAAGGCAGCUUACUACGCAGAUAUUGACGCUCAUGCACGAAAGCGUGGGGAUCAAACAGG
rnacentral:rRNA from 1 species